rnacentral:rRNA from 1 species
AUUGAACGCUGGCGGCAGGCCUUACACAUGCAAGUCGAGCGGAGCGGCGGACGGGUGAGUAAUGCCUAGGAACGUGCCCGGUAGCGGGGGAUAACGACCGGAAAGGGGCGCUAAUACCGCAUACUAUUAGAUGGGCCUAGGUCGGAUUAGCUAGUUGGUGGGGUAAAGGCCUACCAAGGCGACGAUCCGUAGCUGGUCUGAGAGGAUGAUCAGUCACACUGGAACUGAGACACGGUCCAGACUCCUACGGGAGGCAGCAGUGGGGAAUUUUGGACAAUGGGCGAAAGCCUGAUCCAGCCAUGCCGCGUGUGCGAAGAAGGUCUUCGGAUUGUAAAGCACUUUAAGUUGGGAGGCGUUACCUACAGAAUAAGCACCGGCUAACUACGUGCCAGCAGCCGCGGUAAUAC